GGAUAUAAUUCUAUGAUCAAUCUAAAUAUGUCAGGAUUGUGAAAUAGCAGCAUAAGAUCAAAAAUAAAUUAGUAA
rnacentral:sRNA from 1 species